GAUGAACGCUGGCGGCGUGCCUAAUACAUGCAAGUCGAGCGAACAGACGAGGAGCUUGCUCCUCUGACGUUAGCGGCGGACGGGUGAGUAACACGUGGAUAACCUACCUAUAAGACUGGGAUAACUUCGGGAAACCGGAGCUAAUACCGGAUAACAUGUUGAACCGCAUGGUUCAACAGUGAAAGACGGUCUUGCUGUCACUUAUAGAUGGAUCCGCGCCGCAUUAGCUAGUUGGUAAGGUAACGGCUUACCAAGGCAACGAUGCGUAGCCGACCUGAGAGGGUGAUCGGCCACACUGGAACUGAGACACGGUCCAGACUCCUACGGGAGGCAGCAGUAGGGAAUCUUCCGCAAUGGGCGAAAGCCUGACGGAGCAACGCCGCGUAAGUGAAGAAGGUCUUCGGAUCGUAAAACUCUGUUAUUAGGGAAGAACAAAUGUGUAAGUAACUAUGCACGUCCUGACGGUACCUAAUCAGAAAGCCACGGCUAACUACGUG
rnacentral:rRNA from 1 species